GAUCGAGGGAAGUUAGUACCGAAGUCUGAGAUGGAAGAUGGCGAGAAAAGCUGUGUGUAUUUCUGAGGUGCCCGUACCGCAAACCGACACAGGUAGGUAGGAAGAAGAUUCUAAGGCCAACGGGAGAAGGGUUGUUAAGGAACUCGGCAAAUUGACCCCGUAACUUCGGGAGAAGGGGUGCUCCAGAGAUGGAGCCGCAGAGAAUCGGCCCAAGCAACUGUUUACCAAAAACACAGGUUUGUGCUAAAUCGAAAGAUGACGUAUACGAGCUGACGCCUGCCCGGUGCUGGAAGGUUAAGAGGAGAUGUGCAAGCAUUGAAUCGAAGCCCCAGUGAACGGCGGCCGUAACUAUAACGGUCCUAAGGUAGCGAAAUUCCUUGUCAGGUAAGUUCUGACCCGCAUGAAAGGCGUAAUGAUUUGGGCACUGUCUCAACAGCCCGCCCGGCGAAAUUGUAGUACCGGUGAAGAUGCCGGUUACCCGCGACAAGACGGAAAGACCCCAUGGAGCUUUACUGUAGCCUAAUAUUGGGUUUCGAUGUUGCAUGCACAGGAUAGAUGGGACACAGGGAAACAAGUGCUUUGGCAUUUGUGGAGUGGCCGUUGGGAUACCAUCCUUGCGAUAUUGGAAUUCUAACCUGCGCCUUUGAAUCAAGGCGGGGGACAUUGUUAGGUGGGCAGUUUGACUGGGGCGGUCGCCUCCUAAAGAGUAACGGAGGCGUUCAAAGGUUCGCUCAGCUUGAACGGAAAUCAAGCAAAAGAGUGCAAACGCAGAAGCGAGCCUAACUGCGAGACUGACGGGUCGAGCAGUAACGAAAGUUGGAGUUAGUGAUCCGGUGGUAUGUGAGUGGAAAUGCCAUCGCUCAACGGAUAAAAGUUACCCUGGGGAUAACAGGCUGAUCUCCCCCAAGAGUCCACAUCGACGGGGAGGUUUGGCACCUCGAUGUCGGCUCAUCGCAUCCUGGGGCUGUAUUCGGUCCCAAGGGUUUGGCUGUUCGCCAAUUAAAGCGGUACGCGAGCUGGGUUCAGAACGUCGUGAGACAGUUCGGUCCCUAUCUGUCGUGGGCGCAGGAUAUUUGAUGGGAGCUGUCCCUAGUACGAGAGGACCGGGACGGACGUACCUCUGGCGCACCAGUUGUUCUGCCAAGAGCAUAGCUGGGCAACUACGUACGGAUCGGAUAAACGCUGAAAGCAUCUAAGCGUGAAGCCGACCCAAAGAUAAGAU
rnacentral:rRNA from 1 species